CUGCUCACUUUGGCAACAUAUAUACUAAAAUGGAUUGAUACAGAAAAGAUUAGAAUGGCUCUUGCACAAAGAUGGCAUGUAAAUUUGUGAAGCAUUCCAUAUUAAA